rnacentral:rRNA from 1 species
GAUUGAACGCUGGCGGCAGGCCUAACACAUGCAAGUCGAGCGGUAACAGAAAGUAGCUUGCUACUUUGCUGACGAGCGGCGGACGGGUGAGUAAUGCUUGGGAACAUGCCUUGAGGUGGGGGACAACAGUUGGAAACGACUGCUAAUACCGCAUAAUGUCUACGGACCAAAGGGGGCUUCGGCUCUCGCCUUUAGAUUGGCCCAAGUGGGAUUAGCUAGUUGGUGAGGUAAUGGCUCACCAAGGCGACGAUCCCUAGCUGGUUUGAGAGGAUGAUCAGCCACACUGGGACUGAGACACGGCCCAGACUCCUACGGGAGGCAGCAGUGGGGAAUAUUGCACAAUGGGCGCAAGCCUGAUGCAGCCAUGCCGCGUGUGUGAAGAAGGCCUUCGGGUUGUAAAGCACUUUCAGUCAGGAGGAAAGGUUAGUAGUUAAUACCUGCUAGCUGUGACGUUACUGACAGAAGAAGCACCGGCUAACUCCGUGCCAGCAGCCGCGGUAAUACGGAGGGUGCGAGCGUUAAUCGGAAUUACUGGGCGUAAAGCGUACGCAGGCGGUUUGUUAAGCGAGAUGUGAAAGCCCCGGGCUCAACCUGGGAACUGCAUUUCGAACUGGCAAACUAGAGUGUGAUAGAGGGUGGUAGAAUUUCAGGUGUAGCGGUGAAAUGCGUAGAGAUCUGAAGGAAUACCGAUGGCGAAGGCAGCCACCUGGGUCAACACUGACGCUCAUGUACGAAAGCGUGGGGAGCAAACGGGAUUAGAUACCCCGGUAGUCCACGCCGUAAACGAUGUCUACUAGAAGCUCGGAGCCUCGGUUCUGUUUUUCAAAGCUAACGCAUUAAGUAGACC